UCUUCUUUUGUUCUGUUUUCUGACUAUAAUAUUUUGCUUUUUCCAGGCUCACAUUAAAUUUCCUAUUGACUACCCAUAUUCACCACCUACCUUCAGAUUUCUAACCAAAAUGUGGCACCCCAACAUUUAUGAGAAUGGAGAUGUAUGUAUUUCCAUUCUUCAUCCACCUGUAGAUGAUCCACAAAGUGGAGAGCUGCCAUCGGAGAGGUGGAACCCUACUCAAAAUGUCAGCCCACUCCUGGUGUCACCCAUUGGGUUAAGUGCUGCAUAAACACUUCCUGCUGGAAUCCCAUCUGGCUUUGCAAGGCUCCAGUGUCUGUCAGAGACAGCAGGACUGA